rnacentral:SRP_RNA from 1 species
UGGUGGGCUAGUCCGGGUAGUUCGGCAUUACCUGUAACCUGAAAUCGCCGAUAUGCAGGGGACGAAGCCAAUGGAAGGUUUUUCAAGCAGCUAUAGGCCUGGAAUCUCAACUGAGAAGCUCCGUCCUGCUUGGACAGUGUGGAUAUAGGGGCUUGCUGGAAAGCAGGUUUCUAUAUCUUAACUGCAGGAACCGGUCAAGGCCCGGAAGGGAGCAGACCAACUGCAGACUCUUGUCGCUUGCAGGGUAACGGGGUGGAGACGAGUUUCCAGAUAACCUAUAGCUGUAAGGAGAACCGACCUGCGGCGUGCCCACUA